AAUAGAUACCCGGGUAGUCCACGCCGUAAACGGUGGGUACUAGGUGUGGGUUUCCUUCCUUGGGAUCCGUGCCGUAGCUAACGCAUUAAGUACCCCGCCUGGGGAGUACGGCCGCAAGGCUAAAACUCAAAGGAAUUGACGGGGGGCCCGCACAAGCGGCGGAGCAUGUGGAUUAAUUCGAUGCAACGCGAAGAACCUUACCUGGGUUUGACAUGCACAGGACGCCGGCAGAGAUGUCGGUUCCCUUGUGGCCUGUGUGCAGGUGGUGCAUGGCUGUCGUCAGCUCGUGUCGUGAGAUGUUGGGUUAAGUCCCGCAACGAGCGCAACCCUUGUCUCAUGUUGCCAGCACGUUAUGGUGGGGACUCGUGAGAGACUGCCGGGGUCAACUCGGAGGAAGGUGGGGAUGACGUCAAGUCAUCAUGCCCCUUAUGUCCAGGGCUUCACACAUGCUACAAUGGCCGGUACAAGGGCUGCGAUGCCGUGAGGUGGAGCGAAUCCUUUCAAGCCGGUCUCAGUUCGGNUCGGGGUCUG
rnacentral:rRNA from 1 species